rnacentral:rRNA from 1 species
UCCUACGGGGGGCAGCAGUGGGGGAUAUUGCACAAUGGGGGAAACCCUGAUGCAGCGACGCCGCGUGAGCGAUGAAGUAUUUCGGUAUGUAAAGCUCUAUCCGCAGGGAAGAAAAUGACAGUACCUGACUAAGAAGCCCCGGCUAACUACGUGCCAGCAGCCGCGGUAAUACGUAGGGAGCGAGCGUUGUCCGGACUUACUGGGUGUAAAGGGUGCGUAGGCGGCCUUGCAAGUCAGGCGUGAAAACCAUGGGCACAACC